GCACAAGCGGUGGAGCAUGUGGUUUAAUUCGACGAUACGCGAAGAACCUUACCUGGCCUUGACAUACUAAAAAGCUUUAAGAGAUUAGAGUGUGCUAGCUUGCUAGAAUUUAGAUACAGGUGCUGCACGGCUGUCGUCAGCUCGUGUCGUGAGAUGUUGGGUUAAGUCCCGCAACGAGCGCAACCCUCGUGUUUAGUUGCUAACAGUUCGGCUGAGAACUCUAAACAGACUGCCUACGCAAGUAGGAGGAAGGUGAGGACGACGUCAAGUCAUCAUGGCCCUUACGGCCAGGGCUACACACGUGCUACAAUGGGGUAUACAAAGAGCAGCGAUACGAUGACGUGGAGCAAAUCUAGAAAAUGCCUCUCAGUUCGGAUUGUAGUCUGCAACUCGACUACAUGAAGUUGGAAUCGCUAGUAAUCGUAGAUCAGCAAUGCUACGGUGAAUACGUUCCCGGGUCUU
rnacentral:rRNA from 1 species